UUGUCCAAAUUUCCUCUAGGUGGUGUAAAGGAUCAAAAGGAAAGGUAUGUUAAGAUAAGAUUGUGUGCAUGUUUAAAUGUCUUUUUGUCCAAAUUUCUUCUAGGUGGCGUCGAAAGGACAGGUAUGUUAAGAUAAGAUUGUGUGCAUGAAUGUAUGUCUUUUUGUCCAAAUUUCCUCUAGGUGCGUCAAAGGAUCAAACGACAGGUAUGUUAAGAUAAGAUUGUGUGCAUUUUUGUAUGUAUUUUUGUCCAAAUUUCCUCUAGGUGGUGUAAAGGAUUAAAAGGAAAGGUAUGUUAAGAUAAGAUUGUGUGCAUGUUUAAAUGUCUUUUUGUCCAAAUUUCUUCUAGGUGGCGUCAAAAGGACAGGUAUGUUAAGAUAAGAUUGUGUGCAUUUUUGUAUGUCUUUUUGUCCAAAUUUCCUCUAGGUGGCGUCAAAGGAUCAAAAGGACAGGUAUAUUAAGAUAAGAUUGUGUGCAUGUUUAAAUGUCUUUUUGUCCAAAUUUCUUCUAGGUGGCGUCAAAAGGACAGGUAUGUUAAGAUAAGAUUGUGUGCAUUUUUGUAUGUCUUUUUGUCCAAAUUUCCUCUAGGUGGCGUCAAAGGAUCAAAAGGACAGGUAUAUUAAGAUAAGAUUGUGUGCAUGAAUGUAUGUCAUUUUGUCCAAAUUUCCUCUAGGUGGUGUAAAGGAUCAAAAGGAAAGGUAUGUUAAGAUAAGAUUGUGUGCAUGUUUAAAUGUCUUUUUGUCCAAAUUUCUUCUAGGUGGCGUCGAAAGGACAGGUAUGUUAAGAUAAGAUUGUGUGCAUGAAUGUAUGUCUUUUUGUCCAAAUUUCCUCUAGGUGGUGUAAAGGAUCAAAAGGAAAGGUAUGUUAAGAUAAGAUUGUGUGCAUGUUUAAAUGUCUUUUUGUCCAAAUUUCUUCUAGGUGCGUCAAAGGAUCAAACGACAGGUAUGUUAAGAUAAGAUUGUGUGCAUUUUUGUAUGUAUUUUUGUCCAAAUUUCCUCUAGGUGGUGUAAAGGAUCAAAAGGAAAGGUAUGUUAAGAUAAGAUUGUGUGCAUGUUUAAAUGUCUUUUUGUCCAAAUUUCUUCUAGGUGGCGUCAAAAGGACAGGUAUGUUAAGAUAAGAUUGUGUGCAUUUUUGUAUGUCUUUUUGUCCAAAUUUCCUCUAGGUGGCGUCAAAGGAUCAAAAGGACAGGUAUAUUAAGAUAAGAUUGUGUGCAUGAAUGUAUGUCAUUUUGUCCAAAUUUCCUCUAGGUGGUGUAAAGGAUCAAAAGGAAAGGUAUGUUAAGAUAAGAUUGUGUGCAUGUUUAAAUGUCUUUUUGUCCAAAUUUCUUCUAGGUGGCGUUGAAAGGACAGGUAUGUUAAGAUAAGAUUGUGUGCAUGAAUGUAUGUCUUUUUGUCCAAAUUUCCUCUAGGUGGUGUAAAGGAUCAAAAGGAAAGGUAUGUUAAGAUAAGAUUGUGUGCAUGUUUAAAUGUCUUUUUGUCCAAAUUUCCUCUAGGUGGCGUCAAAAGGACAGGUAUGUUAAGAUAAGAUUGUGUGCAUGAAUGUAUGUCCUUUUGUCCAAAUUUCCUCUAGGUGGCGUCAAAGGUACAGUAGGACAGGUAUGUUAAGAUAAGAUUGUGUGCAUUUUUGUAUGUUUUUUUGUCCAAAUUUCCUCUAGGUGGCGUAAAGGAUCAAAAGGACAGGUAUUUUAAGAUAAGAUUGUGUGCAUGAAUGUAUGACUUUUUGUCCAAAUUUCCUCUAGGUGGCGUAAAAGGUACAGUAGGAUAGGUAUGUUAAGAUAAGAUUGUGUGCAUUUUUGUAUGUUUUUUUGUCCAAAUUUCCUCUAGGUGGCGUCAAAGGAUCAAAAGGACAGGUAUGUUAAGAUAAGAUUGUGUGCAUGAAUGUAUGUCUUUUUGACCAAAUUUAUUAAGAUGAUUUAAGUUUGUAUUACAGAUGGAAGAGCCCAGAUGAAAGUCCAGUCCUAGACCUGAAGGAAAAUUGUUGUAUGUUAGGUGCCAGAUAAUGAUGAUGCAAAAAGAGCAUACCGGUAGAUACAGAAAAUUUUGCCAUUGACACAGAUCUGGAAAGAAGCUUAAAGGAAGGACCAAGUUUCAGUCGAGAUGGCAGAUGAGUAGCAACUCCAUGGAAGAAGUUUACUUAGAUCUUCAACAAGUCCGAGGCUUUGCCAUGUCAGCAAUCAAGCAGCAAGGAUAGCAGCUGGAAUGAAGAUUAAUUAUCACAUUGAUCUUCAAACAAGUCUGAGGCUUAGUCAUGAAAGAA